rnacentral:rRNA from 1 species
CCUACGGGUGGCAGCAGUGGGGAAUAUUGGGCAAUGGAGGCAACUCUGACCCAGCAAUGCCGCGUGAGUGAAGAAGGUCAUUUGAUUGUAAAGCUCUUUUCUUUGGAGCGCAUGAGUGACGGUACCAAAGGAAUAAGCCCCGGCUAACUACAUGCCAGCGGCCGCGGUAAUAGGUAGGGGGCGAGAGGUGUUCGGAAUGACUGGGCGUAAAGGGUGUGUAGGGGGUUUGAUAAGUUAGAUGUGUAAUACCCAGGGCUUAACUCGGGUGCUGCAUCUAAAACUGUUAGACUUGAGUACUGGAGAGGAUAGUGGAAUGCGUAGUGUAGCGGUGGAAUGCGUAGAUAUUAGGAAGAACACCAGUGGCGAAGGCGACUAUCUGGACAGCAACUGACACUGAGGCACGAGAGUGUGGGGAGCAAACAGGAUUAGAUACCCGAGUAGUC